rnacentral:rRNA from 1 species
UACGUAGGGUGCAAGCGUUGUCCGGAAUUAUUGGGCGUAAAGAGCUCGUAGGCGGUUUGUCGCGUCGGCUGUGAAAACUCGGGGCUCAGCCCCGAGCCUGCAGUCGAUACGGGCAAACUAGAGUGUGGUAGGGGAGACUGGAAUUCCUGGUGUAGCGGUGAAAUGCGCAGAUAUCAGGAGGAACACCGGCGGCGAAGGCGGGUCUCUGGGCCAUAACUGACGCUGAGGAGCGAAAGCGUGGGGAGCGAACAGG